AGUGAACGCUGGCGGUAGGCCUAACACAUGCAAGUCGAACGGCAGCACAGUAAGAGCUUGCUCUUACGGGUGGCGAGUGGCGGACGGGUGAGGAAUACAUCGGAAUCUACUUUUUCGUGGGGGAUAACGUAGGGAAACUUACGCUAAUACCGCAUACGACCUACGGGUGAAAGCAGGGGAUCUUCGGACCUUGCGCGAUUGAAUGAGCCGAUGUCGGAUUAGCUAGUUGGCGGGGUAAAGGCCCACCAAGGCGACGAUCCGUAGCUGGUCUGAGAGGAUGAUCAGACACACUGGAACUGAGACACGGUCCAGACUCCUACGGGAGGCAGCAGUGGGGAAUAUUGGACAAAGGGCGCAAGCCUGAUCCAGCCAUACCGCGUGGGUGAAGAAGGCCUUCGGGUUGUAAAGCCCUUUUGUUGGGAAAGAAAAGCAGCAGGUUAAUACCCCGCUGUUCUGACGGUACCCAAAGAAUAAGCACCGGCUAACUUCGUG
rnacentral:rRNA from 1 species